AGCUGGGACAUCAUUUAGAUGUUGUACAAGAUGUUGGUGAGGCCACUUGCAGAGUACUGAGAACGCUUCUGGUGGCCCUGCUCCUGCCUGCUGUAUAGCCC